rnacentral:lncRNA from 1 species
GUUCUCCCCACAUAUGGGCAGAGGCUCAGUCCUGUCUUCUGCAUUUUGCAUCCAUGGUUAGAAGCCUUCCUACCUGACGUCUCCUAACCUGGUCACAUGGGAGCUCCCUGAAGGUCCAUGCUGAUUCCUGCCAGCUGGACGUUUCCUGGAAUUAUCUUUUCCUCUUCAUCUGCUUAGGUGAACUCAAUUCAGCCUUCAAGACCUAGCUGUGAAGGACCAUUUUGACCUCAUCCAAGAGCAGGCAUGUUCCCUUCAUUCCCAACCUGCAAUGUGUCUUUGACCAUUAAUACUUUUCAGAGUGACCACAAUUUCACUAGCUAAGGAUGGAAACCUCAGGCUGCCACUUAUUGAACACUUUAUGCUGGGUCCUAAGUCCUUGAUAUUGUAUCUCACUUGGUUCUCAGAACAUCCCCAAAAGUGGUUGAUUGAUCACCCCUGGACAGACAGGCAUUGACAUUCAGGGCCAUUGAAUAACUCAACUAUGGUAGUGAUGUGGCAUAAACAGAACAGUGGGAUCUCAAGAGGAGUCCGACUCCAAUGUUAACAACAUGAUUACCCUAAGCUACAUUCCAUCAGUUGCCACAUCUGUUGGGACAGCUGUUAUUAAGAGUGACCCCAAGGCCAAGAGAUCUUCCUCCAACUAUUCUUGCAGAAUGUUGGCUUCCUUAAAGUUUCCUCCAGUAUUUUUGGUGAAUCUGAGAGGGUCCCUCACUUGUGCUUAUGUCAAAUCCCCAUGGCUGUCAUUGCUUCCUGCCAUAUACCUGCUGGGCAUCAUGGGGUCAAUGCAGCAGCUCCUGGACACUUGGGGUAUGUCCGAGCUGGAUUCUGGCUGUUGGGCUCCUGGUCUCCACCAGGUGUCAUGCUUUCUCCUUCCAGGCACUGACCUUUAGACUGUCCACCAUCUCCAGCAGGGAACAGCAGCUCCUUUAGAUACCUUCCCCUGUGCCUCACCUGGGGAGCAAGAUCUUGAACUGUUGAAAUGUGGUCCCCAAUGUAACAGUAUCAAGAGGCGGCAGGACCAUUAAGAAGUGACUUGAUAGGUGAAUGGAUUAAAAAAUGUGGCAUUUACACACAAUGGAAUAUUACUCAGCAAUAAAAGAGAAUAAAACCAUGGCAUUUGCAGGUAAUGGAUGGCGUUGGAGGAGAUAAUGCUAAGUGAAGUUAGCCAAUCCCCAAAAAAACAAAUGCAGA